UCCGGUUGAUCCUGCCGGACCUGACUGCUAUCGGAUUGAUACUAAGCCAUGCGAGUCAUUGUAGCAAUACAAGGCAUACGGCUCAGUAACGCGUAGUCAACCUAACCUAUGGACGGGAAUAACCUCGGGAAACUGAGAAUAAUGCCCGAUAGAACACUAUACCUGGAAUGGUUUGUGUUCCAAAUGAUUUAUCGCCAUAGGAUGGGACUGCGGCCUAUCAGUUUGUUGGUGAGGUAAUGGCCCACCAAGACUAUUACAGGUACGGGCUCUGAGAGGAGUAGCCCGGAGAUGGGUACUGAGACACGGACCCAGGCCCUAUGGGGCGCAGCAGGCGAGAAAACUUUGCAAUGUGCGAAAGCACGACAAGGUUAAUCCGAGUGAUUUGUGCUAAACGAAUCUUUUGUUAGUCCUAGAAACACUAACGAAUAAGGGGUGGGCAAGUUCUGGUGUCAGCCGCCGCGGUAAAACCAGCACCUCAAGUGGUCAGGAUGAUUAUUGGGCCUAAAGCAUCCGUAGCCGGCUCUGUAAGUUUUCGGUUAAAUCUGUACGCUUAACGUACAGGCUGCCGGGAAUACUGCAAAGCUAGGGAGUGGGAGAGGUAGACGGUACUCGGUAGGAAGUGGUAAAAUGCUUUGAUCUAUCGAUGACCACCUGUGGCGAAGGCGGUCUACCAGAACACGUCCGACGGUGAGGGAUGAAAGCUGGGGGAGCAAACCGGAUUAGAUACCCGGGUAGUCCCAGCUGUAAACUAUGCAAACUCAGUGAUGCAUUGGCUUGUGGCCAAUGCAGUGCUGCAGGGAAGCCGUUAAGUUUGCCGCCUGGGAAGUACGUACGCAAGUAUGAAACUUAAAGGAAUUGGCGGGGGAGCACCACAAGGGGUGAAGCCUGCGGUUCAAUUGGAGUCAACGCCGGA
rnacentral:rRNA from 1 species